GCAAUUUUUUUUGAACGAAAAUUAUAAUUCAAAAAGGGAAUGGUUGAAGGAUUUUUUUUAAAUUAACGUUAUUUUUUUAUGAAGUGAAUAGAGAGAAAUUAUUUAUAAACAAUUUAUUAUUUUUUGAAUUAAAGUUCAUUUAUUUUUAUAUAAUAGUAAUUAAUUAUUAAGAAAAAAAGGAAAACAAACCAAAGUAUUAUAUUUUCUCAAUUCAUGCUUCAGGCUUCAACUAUAUCAGCAUGUUCAAUUAUCAAUUAUAAUGAAUCAAAUACAAGUAAAAUGUGUCCAGAUAUUUUUACAUAUUCUAUUAAUCAAAAUGACGCUAUGUGUUACCACAAAGCAAAUGAUAAUUUAUCCGACAACUCAGAUUCUAAUCAUAAUUCUCAAAGGAGCAUAAAUUAUAACGAUGUUAUUGAUGGUCAUAAUGAGACCAAUCAAUUCAACAUUCAAGUUAUAAAGACUGAAAAAGAAAUCUUCCAUAUAAAUAAUUCCCCUGAUGAAAAUGAUAUGCUAUUAAUUGAAACUUCAGUUGACAAAGGCAAUCAAUAUAAGCAUGAAAACCUAAAUACAGUGAGUCCAAGUUAUGUCGAUCUUAAAAAUCAUCUUAGGAACAUAAUUACUCAUCAAUCUGAUGGUUUAAUCAACAAUAACACACCAAACUUUGAUCAAAAUAUGGAUUUAUUUACGACCAAUUCUUAUUCUGAUUCGUUCAAUAAUUCCGUUCUAAGCUUAAACCCCCUUCACGAUUACAAAAAUGACCAUUUUAAUAUGAUAGACAAGCCAUAUCCUAUCUCACAGCAACUAAUUAAUACACAGUUAGAAUAUUAUAAUUCUGCUAAUUAUAAACCAAAAUUUAACAGUUUUUUUUUGAAUGCCGCCGCCGCUUAUAACAUGGUUACAGCUAAAUCCUUUUCACAAAUUCCAUCUCAAUUUGAAUCUCAAGAAAUUUACGGAAAAGAAAUCUUCAAAAGUGGUAUCGAAUAUUUUAAUCCACCUCUAAAUCUUGAUACCAUAUAUAAAAGUGAAGAUUUAAUGCAAGAAUCUUCCCAUUCGAACGAGUCUAUUAAAAUGUGUACGAUGCACACUCAGGAUUAUUCUACUAAAUCUCGUUACAAGACUCACAGAUCAUUCAACAAAGUUAAUUGUACUCAUAUUAAUACCGCAAAUAAUCAUAUUUUAAUGAAUCAUCUCGAGAAGGGCUCAAAUUCCCAUAAAUCUCACGACGAUUUGAGUCCCGAAUUUUUUAAUUUAAAGCAUAUCGAAUACGAUAAAUUUGGUCUAUUAAACGGUGAUAAAACCCGUAAACCGCACAAAAUUAAAGCAUCUCAGGUCAGUGGCGAACCGAAAGAGUUAUCGUCAAAAGUUAAACAGCACGUGAUAUAUCCCUGGAUGAAAAGGGUUCAUUCUUCGUCAAAUUCAGCUUCAAACGCUAAAAAUAGCUCUAAUCGUAAUUACAAUAACCAAAUUUAUAAUGAUGAUUUGGACAACUUAAACGAUCUAAUGGGAGAUAGCAAGAGGGCAAGGACUGCCUAUACUAGACAUCAAGUUCUUGAAUUAGAAAAAGAGUUCCAUUUUAAUCGAUACUUAACGAGAAGACGUCGAAUCGAGAUCGCCCAUUCUCUGAUUUUGAGUGAGAGACAAAUAAAAAUUUGGUUUCAAAACAGACGCAUGAAAUGGAAGAAAGAUCAUAAAUUACCUAACACCAAAAUCCUGAAUUUUAAUAAAACUAAUUCUACCCCUUCUACCAUAUCGAUUCCCCUUUCAUAUGAUAAUUUGUCGGAAAACGUUUCCGAUACUGAUCCAUCUAAAAAAAAUAAAGAGCACAAUUUUAUAGAAUCAUCUAUAGAAAUUUACAAGGAUAAUAGAUACGAUUCUUCAAUUUACCCUUAUGAUCUAAAAAUGGAACCAACAGUAAAUAACCAAGAUGAUUGGAUGACCAUCAAAUCUGAAAAUAAACAAAAAAUGGUUUUCAAUGAUAAUCCGUUUAAUUAUGAAAUACCUUUAGAUACCAUCAAGCUAGGUGAAAGCAAACAAUUGACUCAUCAGAAAUCAUCUGAACCCCAGGAAUAUAAUAAUUCGGACUUUAAAUCCAGCAUUAUUGAAUCCUCAAAAAAUAAACAUUUCGGUGAUGACAUAAUCGGCAAAUAUAACACAACUAACAAAAUUGAUUGCGAUGUCAUGAAAGGCAAUUGGGUUGAUGACAAACCGAGAAAGCCCCUUUUAAUAUCAGGAUAUUACUUCUAAAAAAUAUCUGUAUAUAGUUAGAUGUCAAUGAUUGGAAAAAGAGAAUUUAUCAAUCCUUUUUUCAGACCAAAGCCUUUGGAGUUGAGUAGUGAUUUACUCCGUCAGUGCUGUUUAUUUUUUAUAAAGACAUAAAGAUGAUCUUUUAGAGUUCAGAGUGAGUCCAGCUAUGGAAAAUACAUGCUCGCUGGGUGCACUCAUAGCUUAAACGCACAGGAUCUUUCUAGCUAAUAUUGAGGGUUUAGGAAGAUACAAUGCUCUUAUCUUCCAAAAAUCGAAGACAUCUUUUAUAUCUAAAU